rnacentral:rRNA from 1 species
AUUGAACGCUGGCGGAAUGCUUUACACAUGCAAGUCGAACGGCAGCACGGGGGCAGCCCUGGUGGCGAGUGGCGAACGGGUGAGUAAUACAUCGGAACGUGCCCGGUCGUGGGGGAUAACGUAGCGAAAGUUACGCUAAUACCGCAUACGAUCUGAGGAUGAAAGCGGGGGACCUUCGGGCCUCGCGCGAUCGGAGCGGCCGAUGUCAGAUUAGGUAGUUGGUGGGGCAAAGGCCUACCAAGCCGACGAUCUGUAGCUGGUCUGAGAGGACGACCAGCCACACUGGGACUGAGACACGGCCCAGACUCCUACGGGAGGCAGCAGUGGGGAAUUUUGGACAAUGGGCGCAAGCCUGAUCCAGCCAUUCCGCGUGCAGGACGAAGGCCUUCGGGUUGUAAACUGCUUUUGUACGGAACGAAAAGGCUCUGGCUAAUACCUGGGGCUCAUGACGGUACCGUAAGAAUAAGCACCGGCUAACUACGUG